AAUAGAUACCCAGGUAGUCCACCCCGUAAACGUUGGGAACUAGUUGUGGGGACCAUUCCACGGUUUCCGUGACGCAGCUAACGCAUUAAGUUCCCCGCCUGGGGAGUACGGCCGCAAGGCUAAAACUCAAAGGAAUUGACGGGGACCCGCACAAGCGGCGGAGCAUGCGGAUUAAUUCGAUGCAACGCGAAGAACCUUACCAAGGCUUGACAUAUACGAGAACGGGCCAGAAAUGGUCAACUCUUUGGACACUCGUAAACAGGUGGUGCAUGGUUGUCGUCAGCUCGUGUCGUGAGAUGUUGGGUUAAGUCCCGCAACGAGCGCAACCCUCGUUCUAUGUUGCCAGCACGUAAUGGUGGGAACUCAUGGGAUACUGCCGGGGUCAACUCGGAGGAAGGUGGGGAUGACGUCAAAUCAUCAUGCCCCUUAUGUCUUGGGCUUCACGCAUGCUACAAUGGCCGGUACAAAGGGCUGCAAUACCGUAAGGUGGAGCGAAUCCCAAAAAGCCGGUCCCAGUUCGGAUUGAGGUCUGCAACUCGACCUCA
rnacentral:rRNA from 1 species